rnacentral:rRNA from 1 species
CCUACGGGUGGCUGCAGUGGGGAAUUUUGGACAAUGGGGGCAACCCUGAUCCAGCCAUGCCGCGUGCGGGAAGAAGGCCUUCGGGUUGUAAACCGCUUUUAGCCGGGAAGAAAAGGCGAGGGAUAACACCCUUCGUUCUUGACGGUACCGGCGGAAUAAGCACCGGCUAACUACGUGCCAGCAGCCGCGGUAAUACGUAGGGUGCGAGCGUUAAUCGGAAUUACCGGAGGUGAAGCGUGAGCACGCGGUUGAAAGCCCCGGGCUCAACCUGGGAAUGGCAGUGGAUACUGGCGGGCUUGAGUGUGGCAGAGGGGGGUGGAAUUCCGCGUGUAGCAGUGAAAUGCGUAGAGAUGCGGAGGAACACCGAUGGCGAAGGCAGCCCCCUGGGCUGACACUGACGCUCAGGCACGAAAGCGUGGGGAGCAAACAGGAUUAGAUACCCUUGUAGUC